GAAACUGUUCUCCAUCUGUUGGCAUCCUAUAUCUUAUUUCUCAAUUGGUUCCAAUCUUAGGGAAGAAAGAUGAAGUUGUUGAUUGACCUUUUAAAACCCAAAUCCUGCUGGGUAUAGUGGCUCAUGCCUGUAAUCCCAGCACUUUGGGAGGCUGAGGUGGUAGGAUUGCUUGAGCCCAUGAGUUUGAGACCAGCCUGGGCAAUAUAGCGAGACUUUGUCUCUGCUUUUAAAACAACAACAACAACAAAACAACAACAACAACAACAACAACACCACUACCCUGUUUCAGUUUCUGGUCUAUUUAGAGCUUUUCCUUCCCAUAGAUGAGGACACUUGAUGUGGAUUUUCAGGCCUAUCCCUGCCCCAUUUUCUGCUACAAAUGGGUUCUGCUUGGACCUUCUACCAAGUCCUGUCACCGUCUUUUGUAUUUAGACUUUGUCAUUGUACGUAGGUCCUUAGAAUUUAGCUUCUGCCUUAUAUGCAAGUGUCUCUCUCCAGGAGCCCUCGGUCCUAGUAUCUUGGGUUCCGCUCUGGUAACCUACCUAGGUCUCUAGUUCCUUUUUCAGGCUGGGCCCUUGCAGGUUCCCCUCUACAUUAAUUUCCUAGGGCUGCUGCAACCAAUUACCACAAACUUGGUGGUUUAAAUAACAGAAGUUAAUUUUCUCACAGUUUUAGAUGCCACAAGGCUAAAACCAAGGUGUCAGGAGGGCUGAUUCCUUCUGGGGGACCCCCAGGGAGAAUCCAUUCCAUCCCUCUCUCCUAGCUUCUGGUGUCUGCUGGCAAUGCUUGGCACUCCUUAGCUUGUGGCAACAACAUUCCAAGCUCUGUCUCUGUCUUCACAUGAUCUUCGCCUAUGUGUGUCUCAAUAUCUCAAAUCUCCCUUUUCUUAUAAGGACACCAGUCAUUGGGUUUAGGGCCCACUCAGCUAUAAUUGCACUGCAUUAAGGAUCUCAAGAUGAGAUCCUCAAUUACAUCUGCAAAUAUUUUAUUUCUGAAUAAGAUCACAUUCACAGGUAUAGGGAUUAGGACUUGGACACACCUUUUUGGGGACACAAUUCAACCCACUAUAUCCUCUUGACUUCUUAUUACAACUGGAGAGAACCUGUGAUUCCAUGAUAGACUUCCUGAAGCUGCUUGCCUGGAAUUUUAUAUUAUAUUAUUUUACUUUUUGGAGACAAAGUCUCACUCUGUCUCCCAGGCUGGAGCACAGUGGUGCAAUCUCGGCUCACUGCAACCUUCACCUGCCUGGGUUCCGGCGAUUCUCCUACCCCCGCCACCUUGCUUGCCUGGAUUUCCGAAUGCCAGAUGCCUUGGAUGCUCCUUUCUGUCACCAUUUGCAACAACUAAAUCUUACGGCCCCUUUUGCUGACCGUGUAGACGCCAUCUAGAGAUGGUGGCCCACUUUGGAUGCUAAGUUUGACUGCCACAUUGAACUUCUCUUGUCAACACAGCACAGGCUCAGUGACCCCAACCCCCCUAUACCCCUCUCAGUAUUUAUCAUGUCUCAUUGAGUGGGCCUGGAACUAGGGUCUGCAUAUCUCCAUUGGCCCUAUCUGAUUAAAGUGAUCAUGACCUAUUGUAUUCUGAAGUGCUACGCAAGAAGUGCUAGACCUCUUGGACUGAUUUUCAUGACUGGGCGUGGUGGCUCAUGCCCACUUUGGGAGGCCAAGGCAGGAGGAUCAUUUGAGUUUAGGAGUUCGAGACUUACAUUGCACACCUGGGCAAUGUAAGGAUACCCUAUCUCUAUUAAAAAUAAAAAUAAAAAGUUGGCCAGGCG
rnacentral:lncRNA from 1 species